CAGCAGCCACGGUAAUACAGAGGGUGCGAGCGUUAAUCGGAUUUACUGGGCGUAAAGCGUGCGUAGGCGGCUAAUUGAGUCGGAUGUGAAAUCCCCGAGCUUAACUUGGGAAUUGCAUUCGAUACUGGUUAGCUAGAGUGUGGGAGAGGAUGGUAGAAUUCCAGGUGUAGCGGUGAAAUGCGUAGAGAUCUGGAGGAAUACCGAUGGCGAAGGCAGCCAUCUGGCCUAACACUGACGCUGAGGUACGAAAGCAUGGGGAGCAAACAGGAUUAGAGACCCCUGUAGUCCCUGUCUCUUAUAU
rnacentral:rRNA from 1 species